UACGGAGGAUCCGAGCGUUAUCCGGAUUUAUUGGGUUUAAAGGGUUCGUAGGUGGAUUGGUAAGUCAGUGGUGAAAGUUUGCAGCUUAACUGUAAAAUUAGCCGUUGAAACUGCCGGUCUUGAGUGCAAAUGAGGUAGGCGGAAUGCGUCGUGUAGCGGUGAAAUGCUUAGAUAUGACGCAGAACUCCGAUUGCGAAGGCAGCUUACUGGGAUGCAACUGACGCUGAGGCACGAAAGCGUGGGUAUCAAACAGGAUUAGAUACCCU
rnacentral:rRNA from 1 species